UUUUAUUUUAUUUUAUUGUCUUUUUAGGGCUGCGCCUCUGGCAUAUGGAAGUUCCCAGGCCAGGGGUCGAAUCAGAGCUACAGCUACCGGCCUAUGCCACAGUCACAGCAACAUAGGAUCCGUAACCCACUGAGUGAGGCCAGGGAUCAAAACUGUGUCCUCAUUGAUACUAGUCGGGUUCAUUACCGCUAAGCCACAAUGAGAACUUCCAGACCACAGUUUUAAAUUGACAUUUUUGCUUCAAGCAUUAUAUCACCAAAUCUGGUUUCUCCUCUGUCUGGGGCCUUAUCUUCCCAGUUUUCCAGAUAAAGGGAAUCAGUGUGGUGACACUCCCUAAGACAGGCUUGGUCUUCUGCCGUUUGGGCUGCUAUUAAAAAAAAACAAAUGAUAGGCUGGGUGGCUUAAACAUUAUUUCUUACAGUUCUGAAAGCUAAGUCCAAAAUCAAGCCACUAGCAGGUCUGGUGUCUGGUGAGAGCUUGCUUCCCGGUUCAUAGACUGUUGUUUUCUCACUAUCUACACCUCCCACCCCUGUACAGAAAGGGUGGGGGAGCUCUGGGGUGUCUCUUUUUUAGGGCCGCACCUGCGGCAUAUGGAAGUUCCCAGGCUAGGGGUCGAAUCGGAGCUACAGCUGCCAGCCUACGCCACUGCCACAGCAACACGGGAUCCGUAACCCACUGAGCGAGGCCAGGGAUUGAACCCAUAUCCUCAUGGGUACUAGUCAGAUUUGUUUCUGCUGUGCUUCAAGGGGAACUCCUAGGGUAUCUUUUAUAAGGGCAUUACUCUUGUUUCGUGAGGGCUCCACCCUCAUGACCUAAUCACCUCCGAAAGGUCCCACCUCCAAAUACCAUCGCACUGGGGAUUGGGUUUCAACAUAUGAAUUUUGAGUGGACACAUUCAGUGUAGAGCAGACCUUCUGACACUUCUUGCUCCCUCCUUCCCCCUCCCACAUCUCCCCUGCCCCCCAGCUAGGAGGUGAGGACAUAGAUAAUUAAUAUGGCCCUGAAGCAUGGCUUCUCCAUUACUUCUACCUCCCCACUCCCUAUAUCCUGCAGGAUGGAGUUCCUUCUCUGGAGUCUUUCCAGCUGCUUGCCUUAUGGUUCCAAACAAUGGACCAUUAAGACGAGCCUUCUGGAACAGUGCCCUUGCCUUUACUUCACAGUACAUGGCUUCCUUGUGUCACUGAAGCUGGAGACGGGUGCAAGAAUGUACAGCACUGCCUGUAAUAACCAAAAGCUCGAAACAUGCAAAUGACUGUUACCAGGAGGAUAGGUAGACAGUGUCACAUUCAUACAACAGAACACAAUUUAUCAGUAGAAAUGAGUGGACUAUAGGUGGGUAGAGCAGCAUAGAUGGGUCUCAAAAACAUAGACUUGAGUGAGAAAAAGUAAGUCACAGAAGAUAAACACUGUGAUUUCAAUGAAAUCCAACACCCCCAAAUUAAAAUGUAUUGUAUAGGAAAUUAUACAGGAAGAUUAAAACUCUAAGAGGUACAGGGAGUUUCCAUCAUGGCGCAGAGGAAAUGAACCCAACUAGGAACCAUGAGGUUCUGUGGUGUAGGUCACAGAAGCAGCUCAGAUUCCACAUUGCUGUGGCUGUGGGGUAGGCCUGCAGCUGUAGCUCUGAUUCAGCCUGGGAACUUCCACGUGCUGCAGAUGCUGCCAUAAAAAGAAAAAGAAGUUUUGUGCAAUUUUCUGGUGGCUCAGUUAGUUAGGGAUCUGGUGCUGUCACUGCUGUGAUUCUGGUUGCUGCUGUGGCUCGGGUUUGCUUGUGGGCCUGGGAAACUUCUGCAUGCCGCGAGCACAGCCAAAAAGAAAAAAAAAUAAGUUUUGCGACUUCCAAGAUUUUUCUUGAGGGGGUGAACCCAUGGAAGUUCCCAGGGCCAGGGAUCGAACCAAAGCCACAGUGUGACAACACUAGAUCCUUUCUACUAGGCCGUCAGGGAACUCCAAGAUUGUUUAUUUUUGAAACCCUUGAAAGAAAAAUGGCUUUAACUGGAAAAUGGCUUGUGUACUUGUUUGGAGCGCUGAUGCAACAGUGACAGAGGAAAAAGCAAAGGCACCUCACUUCCAUCUGGACCAUUCUGACUCCUAGAGGGGGAGGGGAAGAGAGUGAACAGGAGCCUGGGAGGAGAGAUGGUUCAGGUGAGAACUGACUGGUCCAGGGUGAGGCCGGAUCCAGUGCUGGAGAGGACCUGUGACCACCUCAAAAGGCAUGAUACCUAUAGGAAGCAUGGAUACCUUUCCCUACUCAGUGGCUGGAUCUAUUCAGGCCAGAACAAGUGUGGGGUUGAGUGCCAAAGGCUCUAAGCCAUGGCCCGGAAGAGGCUUCCUGUCAGAGCUUGGGGCAUAGACAGGAGUGGGGGUGGUGCACUUGCCAAGAGAGGUCAGCAGAAUCUUACGGUGCUGGGGAGGGAAUUUGGACUUUAUCCUGAGGAGCUGUUAAAGGAUUUAAGACAGGAAGAGGCAGUAUAAGUUUUUUUUUGUUGUUUUUUGUUUUUGUCUUUUGUCUUUUGUCUUUUUAGAAUCACACCCACAACAUAUGGAGGUUCUCAGGUUAGGGUUUGAAUUGCAGCUACAGCUGCCAGCCUAUACAACAGCCACAGCAACUCGGGAUCCAAGCCACGUCUGCGACCCACACCACAGGUCACGGCAACGCCGGAUCCUUAACCCAUCGAGCAAGGCCCAGGGAUUAAACCUGUGUCCUCAUGGAUACUAGUCAGAUUGGUUACUGCUGAGCCAUGACGGGAAAUCCCAGGAUGAGAUUUGAGUGAGAAAAUACGUGAUGAAAAAUGGUAGUAAGGAGUUACCAUUGUGACAUAUCGGUAAUGAACCAGGCUGGAAUCCAUGAGGUUGCAGGUUCUAUCCCUGGCCUCUCUCAGUGGGUUCUUUAACCACUGCUGCUGCCGUGCUGCCGUGAUCCAGUGCUGCCGUGAGCUGUGGUGUAGGUCACAGACGUGGCUUGGAUCUGGUGUUGCUGUGACUGUGGUGUAAGACUGGCAGCUGCAGCUCCGAUUCCACCCCUAGCCUGGGAACUUCCAUAUGCCGCAAGUGCAGCCCUAUUCCAAAAAAAAAAGAGGAAAAGUGGUAGUAAGACUUCAGUAAUUCAUUUAAAGGAAGCUAUACUGCAUUAACCACAUGAGCAACUACAGACUGUAGUAAUGUCCAUAUGUGGGCAAAAUAUGUUUUCAUUCUAUGGACACCGCUUGGUGCACAGCAGGAUUCAGAGAUAUUUCACAAAAUUUUGUGCCCAGGCCCUCCACUCUCAGGAUUAGGCACUGUGAGUCUAGGUAAUGUUAACACGAAACAUGAAAUUGACGGCAGUCAGCAGCAAGUUCGGCGUCCUCCUUAAGGUAGCAGACCAAGAGUUCCCAUCGUGGCAAAGUGGUUAACGAAUCCAACUAGGAACCCUGAGGUUGUGGGUUCGAUCCCUGGCUUUGCUCAGUGGGUUAAGGAUCUGGCGUUGCCGUGAGCUGUGGUGUAGGUCACAGAUGUGGCUUGGGUCCCACAUUGCUGUGGCCCUGGUGUAGGCCGGUGGCUACAGCUCCGUCUGGACCCCUAGCCUGGGAACCUCCAUAUGCCGUGGGAGCGGCCCCAGAAAAGGCAAAAAGACAAAAAAAAAAAAAAAAAAAAAAAGAUGGGCAGACCAUGAUCCCAACGUUAGGAGGGCUGUUUGCCUUCCCAUUUGCUGUAAGGCACAUGCAUGUAAGUCACAGGACAGCAGUUACUUCUCACCACAACGCCAAUACCAAGAGAGGAACCAAUACCCAAUACCUAUUUACACUAAUUAGGAUUGUUAGCAAAACUAAUGACUAGUAUCAUUAUCAGCCAGCUUUGAAUUGGCCUGCCUGACUCUUAAUCCUCACAACAUCUGCCGAGGUCAUUGCUAUUAUUGCAAUUGGAAUUGACAACUUAAUUAUGUAAUCUUUUGUUUCGUAUCCACGUCCUGGGAUAAGGUCAAGGAGCACAGGGAACACAUCUGUCAUGUUUGCUCUUGGAUCCCCGGUGCCUAGAAUGGUGCCUGUACCGUGGUAAAAGCCUUCAACACGUAUUUGUUGAAUGAAUUUCGAAUCCCCCUUUUACAAGUGAGGACACCAAGGCUUAGAGAUGCUAAAUAGCUUACCAAUUAUUAGGUCAGCAGCUAAUCCAAAGUCACAUCUGUCAGACUUCAUCUUCUUACUGGCUCCCAAAUAGUCUAAGGUUUUAUAAGGAUCACAUAGCUUGGUCAAGUUCCUAGCAGUUCAAGAGAAAGCUAUUGAAAGAUUCAUUAACACCUUGCAAAAGAUCUUAACCAUUUGGAGAACAUAGCACAGAAUUCAGAGGUGAACAGUAAGAGAAUAGUUGUGUUUAAACCUGCCGUGUUUCAUAAAGCUCUCACAUUGAGAAAUUCACACCUGGCAUUUGAGAACAAAAGCUGGCAUAGAACUCUGAGGAAGUAUUGUUAAGAGUUUUCCCAACUAAAUCUUUCUAAGCUUCUUAUCAAUAAAGAUGGUGUUUUCAUUAAAAUGGAGAUCCUUAUGGUUUUAUAGUUCUUUCUCCUCCACUGCAACCUUUAUUGGGCUAGGGCUCCAGUUUUCAUGCGUCACCUGGCAUUUCUUUUUCUUACCUUACUGGCUUGAAAUAAUUGCCCAAGGAAGCAUGGGUCCUGAUUCCAGCCCCUUCCCCCCACCCAGCUUGGUCUGGGCACAAAUUCUUUAUGAAUCCCCAGUAGUCCAAGGGGUCUGGAAAAAGCCUAGAAAAAUAAGAUGAUCUUUUCCCAUAGGAAGGGUAUUGAAGGAACUUGCAGAAGCUACCCACGGUGAGAGAGGGAAGUUAAGUCUCUGGGAAAGCAUUCCUUUGGGAGUAAGUGACAAGUCCUGUCUUCUUCCCAUGCCACCUAUUUCCAGGCAGGAGUCCAGCCAAGCUGUCAGGCAGACCCUCAUCCAGAUGAUGCAAAAGCAACUGAUGUGUGAACGGGCAGACUUGACCCCCAACAAAAGAGAGGUUAGACCCUAUCUUCUCUCCCAUGUCCUUCAUCCGGAGCGUGCCUAGACCAGGACAAAACACUGGCCUAAGACGUCACGCUUUCUCUCCUCACC
rnacentral:lncRNA from 1 species